rnacentral:rRNA from 1 species
UACGUAGGCGGCAAGCGUUGUCCGGAAUUAUUGGGCGUAAAGCGCGCGCAGGUGGUUUCUUAAGUCUGAUGUGAAAGCCCACGGCUCAACCGUGGAGGGUCAUUGGAAACUGGGGAACUUGAGUGCAGGAGAGAAGAGUGGAAUUCCACGUGUAGCGGUGAAAUGCGUAGAGAUGUGGAGGAACACCAGUGGCGAAGGCGACUCUUUGGCCUGUAACUGACACUGAGGCGCGAAAGCGUGGGGAGCAAACAGG